GUAGGUGGCGAGCGUUGUCCGGAUUUAUUGGGUUUAAAGGGUGCGUAGGCGGCCUAUUAAGUCAGUGCUGAAAUAUACCGGCUUAACCGGUAGGGUGGCAUUGAUACUGAUGGGCUUGAGUACAGAUGAGGUAGGCGGAAUUGACGGUGUAGCGGUGAAAUGCUUAGAUAUCGUCAAGAACACCUAUAGCGAAGGCAGCUUACUAGGCUGUAACUGACGCUGAGGCACGAAAGUGUGGGGAUCAAACAGGAUUAGAUACCCUGGUAGUCCACACUGUAAACGUUGAUUACUCGCUGUGUGCGAUAUACAGUACGCGGCCAAGCGAAAGCGCUAAGUAAUCCACCUGGGGAGUACGCCGGCAACGGUGAA
rnacentral:rRNA from 1 species